rnacentral:piRNA from 1 species
UGCAAAUGUGAAAUACAAAAAGCUUAGUAGG